rnacentral:rRNA from 1 species
UACGGAGGGAGCUAGCGUUGUUCGGAAUUACUGGGCGUAAAGCGCACGUAGGCGGCUUUGUAAGUUAGAGGUGAAAGCCCGGAGCUCAACUCCGGAACUGCCUUUAAGACUGCAUCGCUUGAAUCCAGGAGAGGUGAGUGGAAUUCCGAGUGUAGAGGUGAAAUUCGUAGAUAUUCGGAAGAACACCAGUGGCGAAGGCGACUCACUGGACAUGUAUUGACGCUGAGGUGCGAAAGCGUGGGGAGCAAACAGG